rnacentral:tRNA from 1 species
GCCUGGCUGGCUCAGUUGGUAGAGCACAUGACUGUUGAUCUCAGGGUUGUGUGAGUUUGAGCUUCACGUUGGGUG